GGCUGGUCUGAUUGCAGUGUUGUUUACAACUACUUGAUAAUAGUCAGUUACAGAUUCCUUUGUUCCUACUUCACUCCCACUAUUUCACUUGAUUAGCCUUAA
ensembl:misc_RNA Y_RNA Y RNA